CCUACGGGAGGCAGCAGUGAGGAAUAUUGGACAAUGGUCGAAAGACUGAUCCAGCCAUGCCGCGUGCAGGAUGUCUGCCCUAUGGGUUGUAAACUGCUUUUAUACGGGAAGAAAAACACCUACGUGUAGGUGAUGACGGUACUGUAAGAAUAAGGACCGGCUAACUCCGUGCCAGCAGCCGCGGUAAUACGGAGGGUCCAAGCGUUAUCCGGAAUCAUUGGGUUUAAAGGGUCCGUAGGCGGGCUAUUAAGUCAGAGGUGAAAGUUUGCAGCUCAACUGUAAAAUUGCCUUUGAUACUGAUAGUCUUGAAUUGUAGUGAAGUGGUUAGAAUAUGUGGUGUAGCGGUGAAAUGCAUAGAUAUCACAUAGAAUACCGAUUGCGAAGGCAGAUCACUAACUAUAUAUUGACGCUGAGGGACGAAAGCGUGGGGAGCGAACGGGAUUAGAUACCCCGGUAGUCCACGCCGUAAACGAUGGAUACUAGCUGUUGGAUUUUUUCAGUGGCUAAGCGAAAGUGAUAAGUAUCCCACCUGGGGAGUACGUUCGCAAGAAUGAAACUCAAAGGAAUUGACGGA
rnacentral:rRNA from 1 species